GUGUGUGUGUGUGUGUGUGUGUAUGGACAGUGUCUCACUAUAUAGCCCUGGUUGCUCUGACACUCUGUAGACCAGGCUGGCCUUGAACUCACACAGAUCCACCUGCCUCUGCCUCCGGAGAUGAACCACGCCUGGCAUCACCUCUGGUUGUCAUGGGAAACUCAAAGACGUUACAUCACUCAUCCAAGAUCAGACUGCUGCUAAGUAGCAGAGCUAGGAUUUGAACCCACGAUCUACUUGUGAGUGGUGUGUUAUCAGGUGUACACAGCCAGCCCCACGGAGUUACGGGGCCAAAGCAGUGAAGACCAGGGGAGGGAUACCUGAGAGCUGUCUUCACGGUGCUGUUUACAUUAAGACUUGAAGCACACACAGCCACAGUUUCUUCCUCACCUCCCCCUCCGCAGCCCACCACAAUCUGGAGUUGACUCCUACUACAGUUGGGAGAGUGUUCUCAGUAAAUGUGCCUUCCAUCGUAUAACUGCCAGAUCUGACACUCCUCAGCCCUUCCUGCAUCCAGAGUGGGCCACUCUGCUUCCAUCACCUGGGGCUGCCUCCCCCCCCCCCCCACUGUGUUCCCGGCACCUCCAGAUUCUUGGGAUUAGCAUAUGCGGUGUUAGUUACUCUCCGAAGAUCCUCCCGGACUUGGUGUCCCUCCUGGCUUUCCUGGCUGGCUUCCUGUGGAUUCUGCCAGCAGUAGACACCGAAGAAAACCCAGAAACUUAAAGCUUCAGUCUCCCGUCCGGUGACAGACAGUUGUGGCCCUUGUUGGUGGAGGUAGCCAUUGCAGCAGUCUGGAUGACAGCUUCCUCGAAGAAGCUCCUCCAGGAUCCUGAGCUUGGUGGCAGCUUCAAAGGAGAUGGAUCUCCAUGGCCUCCAGUGCCUCUACCUGGCUGCCGCAGAUGCAGACGGGGUUCUGGCUCGGGCUGGGGCAGUGUCUGGUCCCACCCUCCAUGUCUUGUGGCUUCAGUUGCAGGAAGCCUCCGCCCUUUGGCCCUUCCUGCCUCCUUACCGUCUUCGAAUCUGACUUUAUACAUCCCGUUCUCCCAAUCUAAUGUGCCUGCGAACCCAGCACUGGGUGGCUAAGGCCACUCUGCUGUGAGUUUGAGGCCGGCUCUAUAGGGACGUCCAUCUCAACAAAGCAAAGCAAACGAGCCUGGAUUCCAGGCGUGGCUCAAUGCUCCUGCCUGGGGGCUGGGUGGUAGCUGAUGAGGUUGGACCCCUGCAGCCCUGAGUCUGUGACCCCCUUUACCUUCAGCGCAGUCUACUUGGUGAUUUGACCCUCUGCUUCAUCUGUGGUCCCUCUUCCUCCACCUCACCACUCCUGUGGGCUGUUCCACAGCACCCCAAAUUUAAAACAUCUACGAUCAUAUCCCCCCCAUCUCCUCUUCCUUCCUCUUCCCUCCUCCGUUUUGUCCCCCCCCAACCCAACCCAACCCAGGGCCUCAUACAUCUUAAGACAAGUGCUUUACAAAUAGACUACAGCCUUCUCUAACCCAGACUCAAGCUGGCCUUGAACUCACUUGGUAGCCCUGUAGGCAUAAAUUGUUUGCAACCUACUUUCAAUAAGGGUUCAACCUUUCUUCUAACCCACCACCCAGCAGAGGUAGGGGAACAGAAAAGCUACUAGGAUGUGGGGGGGAGUGGACCUGUUCAGCAGUAGUUCUUUGGGGGGUGAGCUCGGUCUUCCUCGGCAGCAGUUCAAUCCCACAACAAACAGCAAAUAAGACGCAGCAGCUGCAGACCGGCCCUCUAGGCAGACAGACAGCACGCACGAACCAGCAGCUGCAGUCCAGUCCUUUCAGCAAGCAGACACCAGGCUGUAGUAGUUCAAUCUUGAAGAAACUGCCAGGCUCACCAACAGCCUGAGGCGAGGCCACCAGAGGCAGCAAGCUGCAGCUGUACCACAAGUCCCACAAGUCGAGCUGUAUAAGGUGAAACAAUACAUGUGUCAUUAGCGAAGAAUAGCGAGGCGGAGCAAACCAAACCAAUGGUCAGUGCUCCUCCCCUACUGCCUGUGGGGGUCACAUUUAUACUCCUCCAUCAUGGGUCCCUUCCCGUGUCUGCUAUGUCCAAACACCCUUUCACCUGUGUCUGCUUCAGGAAAACAGCCUUUCCCGUGUCUCCUUUAGCAAGUCUUCCUUUCACCCGUGUGCCCCAGCAAACCAUCAUUUGACAUAACUUUUCCAAAGAUACUGGAAGUUUCCUCUUUGUAGCCCGACCUUGAACUUGCGAUCUUGUACUCCAGGCCCCGAGUAUUGGGGAUCAGGGGUACUCAUCUCCAGGCCCAGCUUCCCCAUCUUUCAGUAAGCCCUUGGUAGCCAAGCCCUUCAGAGCCAGCUUCCUCAUCUAUCCCAGCGUUCGAGUGCAUUUUCUUUGAGUAUCACCUCAUCUGGGACCUUUUCAUCUCCAGCCUUUUGUGAUGGGAAGGCACAUUAAUGUCCACUCCUGACAAACGGAGCCAGUUGGCCAGUGGUUUUAGGUUUUCCCAAGUUCCAGUGGUUUGAGAUAUCAAAACCACUCAAAAAUGCUAAAUUUGCCUGCUGACAGUGGCACACUCCUCUAAUCCCAGCACUCUGGGAGUCCGAGGCAGGCAAAUUCUUAUGGUUCAAAGCCAGCUUGGUCUUCGUGGUAAGUUCCAGGCCAGCCAGAGUGCUAUGCAGUUAGGCCUUUUCUUAAGAUGAUGAUGAUGAAAGAGAGCUGGAGGGAUGGCUCAGUGGUUAGAGCACUGACUGCUCUUCCAGAGGUCCUGGGUUCAAUUCCACAUGGUGGCUCACAACCAUCUGUAAUGGGAUCCGAUGCCCUCUUCUGGUGUGUCUGAAGACAGCGACAGUGUACUUAUAUAGAAU
ensembl:lncRNA